GCAUCACUAAUAAUCGCUUCAUCGGUAAUUUAAUCUUGCAUUGUCCAAACUGUAUUCCUUAUUUAAACGUAAAUCGCGAUGCGUAGAACAGUCGCAUGCAACCGUAAACAUCCGAUAUUCCUAUAUCCGGGCGAAAGUCGAUUACGCGGGAAAAGUAUCUCCCUUUGUCAUCUUAAUUAACAGCGUUCUUUUUUUACUUGCAGAAUCCGUAACAAUUAUUCUGAGACGCAUUGGCCCUGGGGGCGGAUAUCGUUGUGACGUCCGAUUGAAUGCAACGAAUGUGGAACGACUCGCCGUUGCUAGAACAAGUGCUAUCGCAAAGUAUUUAAUCGAACGUGACGGAUGUAAAACGAUCCGGCGCUAUAUAGAACGGCAUCGCAAAUCAUCAUAAGUGGUAAGUGUAACGUACACAUCCCAGUAAGCAAGAAAUUAUUUAAGAUUUUGUAAAUCAUAAACUAAUAUUAAGAUUUUAUUUAAUUAUAACUUCAUCGUAGUUUAUUAUAAUAUUAAAAUAAUAUUAAUAUGUAUCAAAUUUGUUAAUUUCCUUUAUGAAUUGUGAUAAUGAUUUAUUUGAUGUUUUCAACAUCAUUUUAAUUUUAUACAUAUAGCUUUCAAAUAGAAGACAACUAAAUUUAUCCAGUGAACCAAAUUUUCUUUACAUCUUUUGUUAAAUGAAUGAGAUUAUGAACAUUAUGAAUUAUAAAUUCUUAUCCAUAUAAGUCACUAAAUUUUUUUACAAAAUAUUAUAAUAAUUCAUUUGCCUAAAUACAUUUUGUUAUUAAAUUGUCACAUAUUAGUAACCGAAUUGCGCAA